CCCCACCCGGGCUCCCACGCCCCAACCCACAAUGCUCUCGUCUCUUCUUCCACGCCGCUAGGGUUACCCGCCGAUGACGUCGGUCCCUGUUGUAGCGGGUCCUAGCCUCCUCCGCACUGCCACUGCGAGUCCCGCCACCGGUUCCAUCCUCCGCCGCCCCGCCGCCACUGGGCCCUCCUUCAUCGCCCCCACCCCUCAUGCAAUGACACCACCUCCAUAGGGAGUUGCACCGCCGCCGCCGGCACUGCUACAUCCUGGCACACCCUCCACUAGAGCUCGACGUAGCUGCACGGUCUGUGCUGCACGCAGCCACACCACCAUCAUUCCGCUUCCGGUCUCUCUGCCCCAUCUUCCCCAAGAGAUGCAGGGAGGGAGGGGCAACCAUGGACUGCAUGAGAAGGCUUGGCUGCAAACCAAUGCACGUGGGGAGGAGAGAUGCAAGCCACACCAUGACAUGAAGAUCUAUUUGGGGUGAACGACAAGUAGGCGGAUAAGCCGGUCGCCAAGGGGAAUAAGGGCAAGGCCGGGAAGGACGCCAACAAUCUCAAGAGAGCGACGUGCGCCUUCUUCGUCUUCAUGUAUGUCAUCGCCACAGACGGGCGCCCCUUGCUUCCUUCGUGUUACCCUGCUCAGAUUCUGUUUUUCUAUUGUUGUUUACCCAUGAUUUUUGGGUGUCCGUUGUUGUGAACCUGGUGUUUGUUGGUUGUUUGCUGCGAGGGGCAAGUUCCGCGAGGAGUUCAAAUAGAAGAACCUCAAGAACAAGUCCGUCGCCGAUACCUACGAAGCAGCUGAUGAGAUGUGGAAGAGCUUGUGAGGAUAGGAAAAACUCCCUAUGAGGCCAAGUCUAACAAGCUCAAGGGCGAGUAAAACAAGGCCAUUGCUACCUACAACAAGGGCAUGGUACAGAUCUGCACACCCUUGUGAUUGGAACUUGCUGCGUUGUGUUUAAAUGGCAAGCCAGCUAUGUCCUCGCCGCCUCUUCCCGACCCCGGCAUGAUUGUGGCUCCCUCCUGUGGUAUCCUAGACAGCGCCGCAACCACGAUGGCGGUUGUGCAUGACAUAUUCUUCAAAACUCACAUGGUCAGCUUCAUCCCCUCCCUUCUUCCUCCUUUGCCUCCCUCCUCUCUGUUCUGAAGCUUGUGUUGUACGUGCAAUAGCAGUAGCAUGCUCCGAUUCAUGUCCAUUGAGUCAUUUAUUAUAUCAAUUAGAAAUCUCUAGCUAUGUCCUUUCUAGAUUUUAUUUAGUAAAUUUGCUAUCAACCCAAUAACUAGAUUUUGGUCACUCAACUCGUGAUUGGUAUUUAUCUAAAUGGUUGGAGAGCCUGUAGAAAUGGGCUCUUUCAUUCUGAAUUUGUUUCCUUUGACAUCCAAUACAUGCUUAGGGUUUAUGAAUCUUGAGGUAAUUAAAAACCUUAAUUCUUAGUGCCCGCAAUACUUUCCUGAUUAUAGUUGUGGCAUGUUAUUUCAGUUAUAGCACAACUGAAAAUCUUUAUUGAUGUCUUUUCUCGCUUUUGACAUAUAUAUUACUCAAUCUUUGUGAGACAAUUCCUGAGUUGGUGUUUAUCUAGGAUGGGUGGAGAGCCCAUAGACAUGUGCUAUUUUUUUUAAAUGUAUUUGUUUGCAUUGACUCGCAGAAACUGUUAGCAGAUUCGACAUCAAAACAUUCAUGGCUUUUGUCUUAGCUUGAUUUUUAAAACAACAUUGUCCGCAUUCAUGGUUCUGGUAUUAGCUUGAUUUUGAACCAACAUCAAUUAGUAUGAUGUUUAAUGUUUGUAAGUGCUUGACAAGUUUAUUUGGUUGAUAAAAAUGCCUUUAGUAUGAUGAAUGAUGCUCUCGAGUCUAAAUCUAUUUGAUAUGAUGAAUCUAAGUCUGAACCUCUUUCUUGUCUGGUUAAUUGCUGUGGACACUCGGGGUGGGCAUAAAAACCGACGAACCGAAGACCGAACCGAUACCGAAAUUAAAAAACAUAAAUUUCGGUUUUUGAUGAUGGAACAGAAAAAUCGGUUUUUAACUGUGCAAACCGAACUUACUUCGGUCAGUACAGGCUUUAGCUCGGUUAGCCGAAAAAGAAACCGAACAUGGGUCACGACUGCGAACCUUCGGUAAUUUCUCCAGCGCUACGUAAUCUCUGCAGCACGCGUCGGCACUAGCGAGAAGAAAAUUUAAAUGGCCCAAGUCGACCAACCAGCGUGCAAGGCCCAAGCUGUUAUGGGCUUUCUUUUUCUCUACUUCUGCGUGCACGCGAUUAGUGACCACAUUGUAUGCACGCCUGGCGGGUUGAUUGUUACUUAGUUUAGUCCCACCUCGGCUGGACAUACAGAAGGAGUUGGAGUCCUAGCUUAUAUAAGAGCGCACGUGGAUGGUAGCUGCUACAAAGCUGAAAUUCUUAUUUCAUUCAGCGGUUAGUUAUUUUAUAAAGUAUUUUUCGGUUUUCAAUUUUGCUAACCGAAAUUAUAAAAAAACGAAUGGUAGAAACCGAAUUUUCGGUUUCGGUUUCUACCGAACGCCCAGGCCUAGUGGACACAUGGAGAAGGGAUGGAGCAUCAACGAUAAUUCGUCACACGGGCUACACGCAACGUGAUGUGGUGCUUUCAUCCCCUUGAUAUAGCGAUUAGUUGUGCUUGGUUUCCUUUCAAGUAGCAUAGUUGGAGUUUAGCAUGUGUGUAUAGGCUAAUGGUCGCAAGGCUAGCUUUUGGAGUGUACAUGACUUGAAAAUGCAUAUAACGAUUAGUUGUGCUUGGUUUCCUUUCAAGUAGCAUAGUUGGAGUUUAGCAUGUGUGUAGAGGCUAAUGGUCGCAAGGCUAGCUUUUGGAGUGUACAUGACUUGCAAAUGCCCAGCUAGCUGUGAUACUUUUGUGAUCUCAUAUGCUUGCCCUAUGAUAUAUAUCGAUAUUUUCUAUGGAUUACUUUGCUUCCAUGGAUCAAUAUUAUUAUAUUUUUGAUAUAUCUUGUGUAUUCAAGUGCAAUAAGGUUUUUAUUUAAAAAGAUAUGUGCAAAAGUUUGCCAUCAAGAUUGACUCAGCACCAAAUUACCCAGGCGUCAACUCUUUGCCGUCUACUAGGAGUACUAUAUGACGACAAACCUGCUUCUUUGUCGUCUUCUAGGAUAACAGCUGACGGCAAAACUAUUUUCUUUGCCGUCUGGCAUUCCGGUUCAGCUGAUAGCAAAGAGUUAACACCGUUAGUUAGUGGGUGGUUUCGUUAGGCUACUUUUUUAUCAUGUGCCUCGUAACAGCUGACGACAAACCAUUUUCACUAAAGGCAAAUUUUGUGCCGUCUGCCCGACUAAAUGCUGACGACAAAAUAAUCCUUUGCUGACUUAGUGUAUGCCGACAUGCUUUGCCGUCAUGGGCUGACAGCAAAAUCUUUGCGGUUAGUAAUUUUGUCUUUAUUGUCUGUAGCAUCCUAACGACAAAAUGCGUGAUUCCUGUAGUGAAUGAAGAACAUAGAGAAAGAGAGAGAGAGACAUAGCCAUCUAGGUACUAAC